rnacentral:tRNA from 1 species
AACUAUGGCCGAUUUAAGCGUUAAUUUUUUAAAUUAAUUAUAGUUUUUAAAACUUAAAUGUUA